rnacentral:rRNA from 1 species
AACGAACGCUGGCGGCGCGCCUAACACAUGCAAGUCGAACGGGGUUAUAAUGUGAAACCUGCUUCGGUAGGUGGAACGCUAUAACUUAGUGGCGAACGGGUGAGUAACACAUAGGGAACCUGCCCUUAGGAUGGGGAUACUCCCGAGAAAUCGGGCACAAUACCGAAUAUGAUUCCGAGGUGAAAUGCCUUGGGAUAAAAGCUGCGAGCAAUCGCGGCACCUGAGGAGGGACCUGUGGCCUAUCAGCUAGUUGGUGAGGUAACGGCUCACCAAGGCAAAGACGGGUAGCCGGACUGAGAGGUCGAUCGGCCACACUGGAACUGAGACACGGUCCAGACUCCUACGGGAGGCAGCAGUGGGGAAUUUUGCGCAAUGGGCGAAAGCCUGACGCAGCGACGCCGCGUGGGGGAAGAAGGCCUUCGGGUUGUAAACUCCUUUCGUGAGGGAAAAAGCCCUGAGCAAUCAGGGUGAUGGUACCUCAGGAAGAAGCCACGGCUAACUCUGUG